rnacentral:rRNA from 1 species
UCGAGCGGGCCCUUCGGGGUCAGCGGCGGACGGGUGAGUAACGCGUGGGAACGUGCCCUCUGGUCUGGAAUAACCCUGGGAAACUAGGGCUAAUACCGGAUACGCCCUUUUGGGGAAAGGCUUGCUGCCGGAGGAUCGGCCCGCGUCUGAUUAGCUAGUUGGUGGGGUAACGGCCUACCAAGGCGACGAUCAGUAGCUGGUCUGAGAGGAUGAUCAGCCACACUGGGACUGAGACACGGCCCAG